GACGGAGGGUGCAUGCGUUGUUCGGAAUUACUGGGCGUAAAGAGCGUGUAGGCGGUUUGAUAAGUCGAGUGUGAAAGCCCGAGGCUCAACUUCGGAAGUGCACUCGAAACUGUCAGGCUUGAGUACGGGAGAGGGAAGUGGAAUUCCUGGUGUAGAGGUGAAAUUCGUAGAUAUCAGGAGGAACACCGGUGGCGAAGGCGGCUUCCUGGACCGAUACUGACGCUGAGACGCGAAAGCAUGGGGAGCAAACAGGAUUAGAUACCCUGGUAGUCCACGCCGUAAACGGUGAGCACUAGGUGUAGCGGGUAUUGACCCCUGCUGUACCGCAGCUAACGCAUUAAGUGCUCCGCCUGGGGAGUACGGUCGCAAGAUUAAA
rnacentral:rRNA from 1 species